GAUGAACGCUGGCGGCGUGCCUAAUACAUGCAAGUCGAGCGAACAGAUAAGGAGCUUGCUCCUUUGACGUUAGCGGCGGACGGGUGAGUAACACGUGGGUAACCUACCUAUAAGACUGGGAUAACUUCGGGAAACCGGAGCUAAUACCGGAUAACAUUUGGAACCGCAUGGUUCUAAAGUGAAAGAUGGUUUUGCUAUCACUUAUAGAUGGACCCGCGCCGUAUUAGCUAGUUGGUAAGGUAACGGCUUACCAAGGCGACGAUACGUAGCCGACCUGAGAGGGUGAUCGGCCACACUGGAACUGAGACACGGUUCAGACUCCUACGGGAGGCAGCAGUAGGGAAUCUUCCGCAAUGGGCGAAAGCCUGACGGAGCAACGCCGCGUGAGUGAUGAAGGGUUUCGGCUCGUAAAACUCUGUUAUUAGGGAAGAACAAAUGUGUAAGUAACUGUGCACGUCUUGACGGUACCUAAUCAGAAAGCCACGGCUAACUACGUG
rnacentral:rRNA from 1 species